rnacentral:rRNA from 1 species
UACGGAAGGUGCAAGCGUUGUUCGGAAUGACUGGGCGUAAAGCGCACGUAGGCGGGCUUGCAAGUAGGAUGUGAAAGCCCCAGGCUUAACCUGGGAAUGGCAUUCUAAACUACAAGCCUUGAAUGCUUGAGAGGUUGGUGGAAUUCCUGGUGUAGGAGUGAAAUCCGUAGAUAUCAGGAGGAACAUCGGAGGCGAAGGCGGCCAACUGGUGGUGCAUUGACGCUGAGGUGCGAAAGCGUGGGGAGCAAACAGG